UAUUGCUUGAGGAAAAAAAUUACUGAAAAAAAUUACCAAUAUGUGGUUUUGUCAUACAAAAAGAUCCAAUUUGUUUGGACUCGUUAGGUUUGGCCCAUUACCUUGAGUGAGGCCGAAUGUGUACACCUUUUGUUAUGAAGAUGUGAUCUUAUCCACCGAUGGGUCUUGUUCUAAGCCCAACCCUCUCGUCUUAGGGUAGGAUAUCCAGAAACCUUAAAUCACGGGAACUUCCCCUUUUUGGUAGACAGC
rnacentral:lncRNA from 1 species